UACGGAGGGGGCUAGCGUUGUUCGGAAUCAUUGGGCGUAAAGGGCGCGUAGGCGGCCGAUCAAGUCGGAGGUGAAAUCCCUCGGAUCAACUGAGGAAUUGCCUUCGAUACUGUUCGGCUUGAGUCCUGGAGAGGGUAGCGGAAUUCCCGGUGUAGCGGUGAAAUGCGUAGAGACCGGGAAGAACACCAGUGGCGAAGGCGGCUACCUGGACAGGUACUGACGCUGAAGCGCGAAAGCUAGGGGAGCAAACAGG
rnacentral:rRNA from 1 species